UUUUUUUUUUAUUUUAAUAUCACAUGGUUUAAAAUGUAUCAAGUUAGUAUCUUAUAAUUUUAUUUUAUUUUUCAAUUCUUCUGUUAAUAUUUUGUUAAAUUAUAUACAAAAAGAUUUUAGAUAUCUUAUAUAGAUUUAUCGAAUAUUUACUUUGGUACUAUUUAGUUUUAACUUUGUUAUUGAUUUAACGGAAAAAAAAAAUAGUAAAAUGGAUAAAUAAAAAGAGAAAAAUAAGAUCAGGGUACUAAAUUGAUACAUUUUAAAUUAUAGGGUACUAAAAUUAAAAAGUGUGAAAUCACAAAAGUGAUAUUUAAAGUUUUUUCUUUUUUUAUUUUGUUUCUUUUGUUAAAAAUAUAUGUAACUAAUUCGAGCUUUUAAGUGAUCCAAAAACAACCAACCAACCAGUCACUUUAUCAUUAAAAGUUAUAGGCCAAGUUACAGGAAUUUUUUUCCAUAAAUAUUCAUUUUUUCAUUUUUCUCUAUAAUUUUCAAAAAUUUAUAUUUUAUCUUUUAAAAUUUUAGAUAUAUUUUUAGGAGGAUACGGCGUUAAUAAAGAUAACAAAAUAACCAAAUUAUCUUCACUCUUUUAUAAAAAAAAAAUAAAUAUUUAAUAUAUUUUUGUCAUUUUAAAGAGUAUUUUCAAUAUAAAUUAUAAAAAAAGAAUGAAAUAGUGAUGUAACACUAAUGGAUAGAGUGGCUAAAUGUAACAAUUGAAAUGUUGAGAUAGUAAAAUGUACGUUUUUGAAAGUCAGAGAAAAAAAAUAAAAAAGUGGGUAUCUAUAGAGAAUUUUUUUUAUAAUUUAGCCAAAAUUUUAAUUUUACGGUCUAUAUUUAAUUUUAUUUUACUUUGUUUUAGAGGUUUAGUAGUUCUAAAAAAUUAUUAUAUGUGCUGAUGCAUUUGUGUAUUCGUAACACUUUUUUUGUUGCUCAUUUAAUUUAUCCAAUUGCUAAGUAUCUGUCAUCCAAUAAAUUAUAAUUUUUCAAUUAAAAAUUGAGCGACAUGUGAUGCAUUAAAAAAAUUAAAAUACAUAAAAUUUUUCUGUAAAUAUUUAUUUUUAUAUCUCUUUUUUCCAACUUCUAAAAAUAUUCAUUUUGCCUCCAUAAAAUUUUAGAAAUAUUUAGAGAAUUGCGACGUUAAUGGGAGAAAAAAAAAACCAAAUUAUCGUUACUUGUUGUAUAAGAAAAAAUAACUUUUUAAUAUAUUUAUGUCAUUUUUAAUAACAUUUUUAGUAUAAAUUAUAAAAAAUUAACAGAAUAGGGACAGAACCGUCAAGGUUAAAUGUAUAAAUUUAAAAUUUGAGGGAAUUAAAAUAUAGAUUUUUAAAAAUCAAGAGAAAAAAAAAGUAAGAAAACGGAUAUUCACGAAAAGAUUUUCUCUAUUUUAGCCAAAAAUAUGAUGUAUAAAUAUCUAGACACAUAGUUACUUUUAAGAAAGCAAAUUAAACUAUUUGCACGAUCAAACAAUAAAAUUAAAAUUUCUAAACAUUUUUAAAAAAUUAAAUAAAUCUUUCUCAAAUUAUCCAAAAUUUUGGUCAGCUCUAUACAUCUUCACUAGAUUUUAUUUUGGUUUAAAUAUGAUUUAUAAAGUACGCCUCACUAUAUUUUAUUUUGGUCCCCAACUCCUUUUUUUUUUUUUUUUUGCAAUUGGAUGUUUAACCUAUAAGAUCAAUUGUACUAUUUGUCCUUAACCUUUCACUGGUUUUUUUUUAUUUUCUUUUCUUUAACUUUGAUUCUUACCCUAUUCUCCAUUUUAGGGAUCUAAUAUAAAAAAAUAACAUUUUAGGGACCAAUGUUUCCAAAAAAAAGGGUAAAUAUUAGGGACCAAUGGUGUUAAUAACCCAAAAAAUUAGCCACUUUAAUUGAGAUUCUAUUCGUAUCUGUUUUUUUUUUUCUUUUUUUCUUUUUUUCUUUUUUUUUUUGUGAGUCAUUCAUGACUGUGGUUCAAAAAGUUACACUUAAUUAUCCCGCAGUUUAACUCUUUAUUUUUAUUUAACACUUUAUGGUUCAAAAAUUUAUACUUAACUAUUAUCUUGUGAUAAUUUUUUUUUUACUUCACUAUCUUAUUUGAUAGUAGAUUUUUUACAUUAAAAAAUAGAGAUAAAACUACAAAAUUAAUAAAUACAACUUUUGAACCACGGAGUAACAAAAUAAAAAAUAAGCUAAACUCAUGAGAGGCAAAUUAAAGUUUAUAAUUUUUUUUUUCAAAAAAAAAAAAACUCAGCUUAAAAUAUAAAAGCAAGCUAAACCACAUGGAAGCACAUUAAAGUUUACGGUUCUUUUUUUUAAAGAAAUAAAAAAUAAAUCAGUUAGAAAUGUGAAGUAAUUAAGUUUUAAACUUAGGACUCCGAGUAUCAACCUUGAACUCUUUUAAGUCUUUAGUCAAUUACGCUAGAUACGAUCAGUCACAUGUAUCUGCUUUUACGGACGAAAGAAUAUUAUAGCAUAAUUCAAAAUUUUGUGGGGGUUUACUGAUGUAUUGGUGCACCAGUGCAUGCAAACAAUCCAGUUUCUGCAGCUCAGCAGGGAAUAGGUGUCAGAAGAUAUUCAGCUGAGACUCUCUGACCCUUCUUUUAUCAGCUUCCUGCAGGUUGUUGUUGAUGCUCUUUAAAUUAAUUAACUGUUUAUUCCUGUAUUCUCUCCAUUACCAGAUUCUUAUGUAUAAUAAUAAAUGUGAACUUAAUAGAUCCAAGACAAAGUUGCACUUUGGGAUGGUAUUUUUAUUCUUAAAUUAUAAUUUAAGGUGGUUAAUUUCAUACAGAUUUUUAUAAAUAUAGUAAAUUACAAAUAUAUUUCUAUAAAAUUCAACUUUUAUAUGUUGUCGCUAUAAAAAUUCUAAUAUUUUUAAAUAUGUCCCUUUGGCUUGUUACCGUUAAAAUACUGUUUAUUUUAUAAAUGAAAUGAUAUUUUUGCCAUCACAAAUAUGUCCCUUCAAAAGUCCCAACUAUUAAUUAAAGAGGGGUAAAAAAAUCAAUUCACCUCAUAAACUAACUAGGAUUAAGUAUUUUACCUAUGGUUAAUUAAUCUUUUCUGACGGAUCCUAUCGGCAGGAACAUAUUUGAAAAUAUCAGGACUUUUAUAGGAAUACCAUAUGAAACUUGAAUUUUAUAGGAAUAUAUUUGUAAUUCAUUAUAUUUAUAGAAACCUGUGUAAAAUUAACCCAUAAUUUAAUGUAAACUUCUGCUUGAACAAUGUAAACUAUUGUAGUUCAGUCCCACGGUCAAAUUUAGUUAAUUACUGAAUAAUAACGCGUCGCUAAUAUAGAAAUAACAUGACUUUUUAAUCAUUGUAAUAUUAUUACCCACAAUGAUGCCGCAGCAACAUCAUGCUAUCAUUCAGUUAACUAAAUUAUAAUGCGGGUGGUGUUAAUUAUGAUAAUCAAGAAUUGACUCUGCAGUGAUUCCAGUUCUUACUACUACUACUUUAAAAUGCAGUACAAUUUCUCAUUUGGAAGUCAUAUCUAAUCCGAGAAAACUGGAUGAAUAGUAUAGUAAGUUAAUCAAAAUGCAUCAAAUAAUUAGAUAUGACUUGUAGAUAGUAAAUUUAGAUUCAUUAGGAUCAAAGUUUUGAACAGUUACAGCUCUUUAAUUAUUCAUGAUGAACCUAGUCAUCACAUAAUAAAAUGAUUGAGUAUGAUCCACCUACAUGCAUGUAGUAAAUUUAGAUUUGUUAAUAUUAUCCUGAUAAAGUAUCUAGCCAAUCUUUUUAUUAAGUUUUAAGAUAAACUUUAGAUACCACCCAUAUGGUUUCGUACCUUCUCACUUUAGUACCAUGUGGUUUUAUUUGAGUAGGGCUAGAAUACUUUUACAAGUAUCACCCAAGUGAUACUUGUGUGUUUUUAGCCAUUGGAUCUACUUUUUGAUUACUAAUAGUCCUUGGAUCAAACACUAUUCCACCUACCAUCACCUACCACCAUCAUCUCAACCUCACAUCUCUCCAUCCAAGGGCUAAAAACACACAAGUAUCACUUGGGUGAUACUUUUACAAGUAUUCUAGCUCUACUCGUUUUAUUUUUAUCUUUUCGUCAGUGUCUUCGUUAAUAUUUUAUUAAAUUAUAUAUAAAAAACUUCGGAUACUCUAUCUAGAUUUAUCGAAUAUUUACUUUGGUACCCUUUAGUUUUAACUUUGUCACUAAUUUAAUAAAAAAAAUUUAGUGAAAUCGAUAAUAAAAAGAUAAAAAUGAAACCAUAUGACACUAAGUUGAUACACUUUAAACCAUAAGAUACUAAAGUGAAAAAGUGUGAAACCACAGAAAUAGUAUUUAAAGUUUUUUCUUUUGUUAAUAAAAGGUAAGCUAGUAAUUUGGCGCAUUUUAAUUUCGUUAUCAUGUGAUUCAGAAGUUGCAUUUAAUUACUCUAAUAUUUUUAUCUCUAUUUUACCAUAAGAGUCCAUUGUUAAAUAAGACAGUAAAGUAAUAUUUUUUUAUUAACAUAUGAUGAAAUUACAGAAUAACUAAAUGUAAUUUUUUGAAUCACAAUAAAAUAUAGGAAAAUUAAAGUGUCCCACUAAAAUAAAAGGAAACUUUAUUAUAUUUGUAGAAUCAUCAUCAUCAUAAUUAAGCUUCUUAUUGGUCAAAGUAAAGAGAGAGACAAUUCAGGAACUGGAAAGUGUUGUAAUUCACUUCCAAGGAGACAUCCCCCUUGAAAAAGGCAAUUACAAUAAAUUACAAUAUUAUUAUUAUUAUUAUUAUUAUUAUUUUGUGGUUCUACAUUUUUUUAAAAAUUUUUUUUUAUCCCCAUUGCUUUGCUUUUGUUUUACUUAAGAAUGCUAAUUUUGCUCUCUACGAAAUGGGAGUUUGAAAAGUAUUAUUUUGACUUUUGGAUUAUCAAAUUUUCCCAAGGUUUAUUAAGGAAAAAAGUAUUGCACAAAUUUUGAUGCAAAAAGGGGGGCUUUUUUUUUUUUUCAUUUUUCGUGUAGUUGCUUGACUCUGGCUAGGGCCCUUAUUUGGAAAAAAAAAAAAAAAAAAAGUUAUGUUUUAUUUGUAAAUGAAAAAAUAGAAAAUAAAAAAAAUCUAUGAAAUUGACCAAAAACAAUUCAGAAAAUUACUUUUUAUGUAAACCAAAUGAAUGAAAAUUAUUUUUUAAUUAUUCCUUUCGACAGAUUAUGAGAAAUAAAUAAUGGAACGUAAAAAUUUAUUUCAACUAUGAAUUAUUUUUAGUUGAUUAUUCAUUUUUUUUCCUUAUUAAUUUAAUGUUUUAAUUUAUUUAAUUUGAGUUAGUUGAUGGUAUUUUGACUUUCAAAAUUUUUAUAUAUUUAACUAGUACACUUUAGCUUAAAUUUUAAAAUUUAAAUAUCAAUUUGAAAUAAUUCAUAAUUGAUAAAUUUUGUAUAUUUUUGCCGUAAAUUUUUAAAAUUGUACUCAGCCCUUUAACAUGGUAUUGGAAUUUUUUUUUUUUUUACCGUGACUUUUUAUUUUUUUGGGUAAACUUGAAAUAACACUCCUAUAGUUUCGUAGUAUCUCACUUUAGUAUUAUGUGGUUUAAAAUAUAUCAAUUUAGUACUCUGUGAUUUUAUUUUUUCUUUUCGUCAGUUCCUCUGUUAACUUCUCAUUAAAUCAUAUACAAAAAAAAUUCAGAUAUCCUACCUAUAUUUUAUCGAAUAUUUAUUUUAAUACUCUUUAAUUUUAACUUUAUCACUGAUUCAAUGAAAAAAAAUUAAUGAAGGGAUAACAAAAAGAGAAAAGUAAAAUCAAAUGUUACGAAAAUUAUACACUUUAAAUUACAGAAUACUAAAGUGAGAAAGUGAGAAACCACAUGGUGGUAUUUGAAAUUUUCCUUUUUUUUUUCGAUUUGGCUCAUUUAAUUUAAUUAAUUUAUUUGUUUUCCAAAUUUCUGAGGUUGUGCCACGUGCGGCAAAAUUUAGCACGUGGCAAAACGAACGUUUUCCCCGAAGCCCCUCGAAACCCCGCUCCGAGGAGGCGCAAUGCUUAAUUGCGAUUUAGGGUUUUGGAUGUGUUAUUGUUCUUCAUUGGGAUUAGGGUUUGCGAUCGGAAAGAGUGCGGAUUCCUCAGGCUUGUUGAUCCGAGGUAUGAAUUUUUGCUUACGAUGGUGGAAAAACCAAAAAAAAAAAAGGAUUUUGAUAGUGAUUGUUGAUGUUUUUUUUUUUUUUCCUUCUUUUUUUUUGCGCGCUUUUCAUCAUCGUCGUGAUCGUCGUGUGGUGUGUUCUUUGAUUCCUGAUAAAGCCGUCAUUGAAUAAAUGCGUCGAAAUCUCUCUCUCUAAAUUGCAUUUCUGAUUAUGUUAAAUUAUGUGAAACAAUCGUUGUUUGAAAUCAUGAAAUGAACUCAAAUCAAAUGAAAAUAAAUUAUGUUGUUUUUCGCUGAUAGAAUCUCCUGCUCUAAUAGGAUAUUAAAUAAUGCGAAACAAUCGUUAUACUCUAAAAAUUUAAGCCUAUAAUUUUAAUAUUUAACAGUUUAAUUUGAGUGCAUAGAGUAUUAAAGAUAAAUAUAGUGUGGCUACUGUAGAAGAUCAAAAUGUUGUUUUUUUCUCUGUGCGCAAAUAUUGUUGGUGUUCAUAUUUUGACACACAUCAUCACUGUACAACACAAAUUUAUCGGCAUGAGCAGUACAGGCAACAUGUGUUGGCUGUGCCAGAUUGUGCUGAGUGACACGACAAUCCUUGCUUUAGAAAAAUUAAAGAGAUGGUACUUUGAUGCGGCCGGUGUAAAACACUAAAUUCAUAUCAAAGAUGAGAUCUUUUGCGCCGCGGGUCGAGAUGAAAGUUUUAAUUUCGCCUUAAAGUGAUCACCUGUAUGUAUUCUUCUUCCAUUGAUCAAUGGAAUUGAUAUACAAGUAGCAUAUCUCGUCAGGUUCUGUUUACUUAAGGAGAAGAAGAGAAGAGAAAUUGGAAUGUGCUUGGUUGGUUGGUUGUGUCUGCAACAUAUCUGUAUUUGCUUUCUAAAUGAUUUGCGAGAACAAAAUAUACGCAUCAUUAGUUGUUCAGAUGAAGAACUAGCUUGGCAAUAUGCUGAAUGGUAAUUGAAGUUCCAGCUGUUCUGUAACAGGACAUACGAAUCGAUAAAUUACGCAUGAUUGCACUUUCUGUGUCUUUUUGCUGAUAUUGAUCGUUCUGCACCUCUGCCUCUAUUUACAAUAAUUCAAUUUUCAUUCAUGUGAACGGCACGAGUUAGAAGUAAAAACAAUGUAUCUGUUCUAUUACUGCCACUAUAUGUUUCGAACUUUGAAGUAGUUUCCUCUAGCAAAAACAACACUUCAUGCCACUCGGUUUAUUGAAUGGGAAAAAGGUUACACAUAUACUGUUAAAUGACUGCACAAAAGGGAAAACCAUUAACAAACUCAGCAUUUCUCGGGUUUUACGACUCAUAUCCAUGAUUCAAGGGUGUAGUUGUACUUGAAGGAGUUCACGCCGCUUAUAUGUGCCAGAAUAUCUGAGGAGUCCAGUAUACCUUCUUCUUCCUUCACUGCCACCUGAACGACACAACACUUUCUUAUUAGGGGCGAAUCAUACGCCUCACUAAAUGCAAACAUGGAUUAUAUUAAACUCUGUUGAAGAUUCACAAUGUAGGGAUACAUAUCAGUUAAGUAACUUAAUGGAGUUGAAUUUACUUUUGUAAUUUUUUGUGCUGCUUGUAAACUGUUUGAAGCUACUCUUUUCUUUUGAGUUUUCAACUUCUUCAGAAGGAUAUGACAAGAGCAGUUAUAGGACUUACUUCCUCUUCCUCAUCGAAUUCGUGAUUAUGGGAACUGGGCCUCGUUGUCUCGCAAAACUCAUCAUUCUUAGCAAAUCGCCCUCGCACGCGGGGACGGCUGUCGGCUAAAGUCUUUCUGCAAGCAUACUGCAUUUUCGUUUUCAAGAGCCAGUUAGAUGCCAUCUCUAAGCAUGAUAAAUAAUCAAAUCUAGUUGGAUUUGUUCUGUGCAUUGAUUACCUUGAUCUUUUUGCUGAAGUUCCUCUCAUUCCUCUUCUUCAUGUAUCUGUGGAUCUUCUCCUUUCUCUCUUCCACCGACAGGCGCCCGACUUUGAAGGUGGAAUCGUCCAAGCCCGAGAUCUCUGACGAAGGUGGUAAGGCCGCCGUCGAGCUUCCGCCGCACCCGCCCAUCAUAUGCUGGCCGCCCCCUCCAACAACCUAUGCAGUGAGUGAUGUUACAUAUGAUUAUGACAUAUUUGAUCGAGAUUGUGUUAGCUGUUCUGAAUUGAAAUCUUUCGAUUUAGGACAAUUUUUUGAAUUUGUUCAAUUUUCCGAUCUGAUGGUAUAUGUAUCAUGUUAUUAAGAUGCCUAAUUUUUCCCGGACAUUUGUACUUAGCUGCCAUUGUAACAUACCUGCAUGUCUCCUGAGCUAUACACCCUCUGCAUGUUAUCUUGACCUGCAUAGAUGCCCACCAUCCCUCCACACUCCAUCAUCCUUUGAUACUCUCCCACUUCCUCCACCAUCCCAUUACUAGUGCUGGUAGUAGCAGUAGUAAAAUACGCUUGGGCAUCUACUACGCCGCCGUUGGUUGCCAUCGGUCCCGGAUACAGCGCCGCCUCUAGACCCAUGUACCCUCCCACCAUCGCCGCUGCAAAGCACUCGUCGUCGAACCCUGUCGUCAGCGCUGACGCUGACGGUGGGCCCCCCAUUUGGAUCGGGAGCAUUGUGUCAUUUGAGUAGACGGCUGCGGCGGUGAUGGCGUCGUUGAGUGCUAUCUGGUUGUUGAACUGGUCCGGAUGGUGGAUGUCAAUGGUGGUGGUGGUAUAAGAGGGGGGACCCGCGAAUGGAAAGUGGAUAGAGGGGAGGAGUUCGGGCUCGGGGUCGGGAUGUUGCUCGGGGCUAAGGAGCGCGGAAAGAGUGGCAGAGUCGAGGGAGGGGAACGGGGAGAGUGCUGCGGCGGCGGCGGCAGCAGCAGAGGCCGAGGCAUCAUCGUCGUAGCAGCAAAGUGGAGUGGUGACGGAUGAUGACGAUACGUCGUCGGAAGAGCGAAGAAGUGGGUCAGAGACCGCGGCAGCGGCAGCGAAGAGGUCGCCGCCACUGCCGUCGUCGCAAAAGUCUAGGAUCUGGGCAGCAAUAGGGCUUGAGAUAUCCUCCUGCAGUUACAAAAUUCAUUAUAUUUCUUACGAAACAACAACGCAAUGAAAAUAUAGAUAUUAAGAUUCUUAUAAAAUGCAUCUAAAAUUUUUUUUUAGCUUAUUAUGCGUCUAAUGCAGCAAAAACUAGAGUUGAAUUUUGCAGUAGACAUUGACUUGUAGCUGCGUCUAAUGCAGCAAAAUUUUUUGAAUUUUGCAGUAGACAUUAACCAAUUAGAUUUUAAUUUUGGGAGAUAUAAUUAAGGCAAUGAUUUAGCAUAUUUUUUUACUUUGUCAUUGUAUCAUUUGAAAAGUAAUUUUUUUACUAUUCUAUGGUUUUAUUUUAUUUUAUCAUAAAAAGAAAUUGUUAAAUAUGUUAGCAAAAUAACAAUGGUCAUAUUUUCUAAAAACAUAAUAUUUACAAACCGUUGAGAUAGUGAAGUGAUAGAUCAUAGGUCAAUCUUAUGAUUUAUAGUGUACCACAUUGCUACCUUUUGGUUUGCAUAUUAUUAUUUUGUUAUUGACCUAAUAGUCGCUAUUCUUACAGUGAAAUAAAAUUAAACUAUGGAAUAAUAAAAAUAACACUUUUCAAACUAUACCAUGUCAAAAUAAAAAUAUACUAAAUCACAAAAAUCUAAUUAAAGUUAUUGCUGAAGUGGGUUACAGUUGGGAAUGCAAACAAGACCAAUUCGGAGCAGAAAGUUUCCCCGGACUUCUCAUCUUGUUUUCUUGGUGGGUAAGGCCAGACUCGUGACGAAUUAAUUUUUAUUCUAUUUUUAUCCUACUUUAUCACUUCAUUUGGGGUGUGAGCAAGAAUUUAAGUGCAGUGGCAUGGGGUCGUGCCGGAAAUUUACUGGCACGGUACGGUACGGUACGUAUCGGGCCGUGCCGAAGUGUGUCAGUUAUUAAAAAAAUUAUGUAUGCCAACAUAUAAUUUCAUGAAAUAUUUAUUUUUUUAGACAAAAAAAUGUUAUAAUUGUUUAUUAUCUAUUUUUAUCAAAUCUUUUAAACUUUAUUCAGAAAAUUACUUACAAAUUUUAAAAAUAGAAAAUUUUGAACUAUGUCAUGAGCACGGGAGUUGUAUCAUGCUGAUAUUUUGUUGCCAUGGUACUGCACGGUAGAUACAACCUGCGCCGAUGGGCACUUAAAUUCUUAGAUGUGAGUGAAUUUUUGAUGAAUUUUUGACGAAUCAAGAGUUUUUCGUCUUCCGCUCUAUUCUUUUAGUUGACCAGAAGAGAUUUGAAACAUUUUCUUUUUAUAACUUUUUAUUUUUAAUCUCCAUUUACCGCUUAUCGUUUUGUUCGAAACAGACUCAGAAAGAAGCUUGAUCAACUCAAAUCUAUUUGGAUCUCUAAUUAGACUUAAAAGUGAGCACCUAUACUUUGAUACGUGCCACAAAGCACAAAUAUUCCCCAAAUUUACCCGGGUCUUGUCUCAAGGAUAGGAUAAAAGGAUUUGGUGCCCCUUUUUUCUCCGUACCAUGGUUCGUAUAUUGUUAUUAUAUUAUAAUAAUAAUACUACUACUAUAUUGGUCUCCACGUGAAUAGAAGUGUUACCAAAGUGUCCCUUCCUCCUAUAUAUAUCAACUAAGAUUAAGAUUAAUUGUAUAAGAUAAUAAUAUUUUACUUUUUAUUUUUUCUCUUACUCUAAAAUAUAGAAUUAUAUUUUUGUGUAGCUGGUUAGAGUAACCAAAAAAGGAAAAGAAAAAAAAAACAACAUAAUAUGAGCCUGUUGAGAAGUUUAAUAUGUAGUGAUCACAAUCAAUCAUAAUUUUUCUUUUCAGAAAAAAAUGAAUAAAUUUUUUGUAAAAAAAUUAUGAUGGAAUGGAUAAAUUUCAAGAGAAUAAUUUGAUUAGUUGGAGGGACACCAUGUCAGUGACGUGACAGCUGUAUUUUUAGACAUUUUCGUUGACAAAAAAUGAUAAAGUUAGAGUUUCUGCUGCAUCGAAAGACAGAAUGAAAUUCUCAAUGUCGAAAAUAGAAACUUAAAUUUAAGGCUUAUGAUUUUGCUGUAAAAAUUUUGUUGGUAAUAUUCCAAUUAUGGUGCAUAAUUCUAGUUGGGAAGAGAAAAAUUAAUGUUGCCUUAAGAUAAUGCAUUCAAACUCCCAAGCAUGUAUGUAAUUGGUGAAGAAGCUUUGUUAAUUUGAUUAAGUAAACAAUAAAUGGGUAGGAAAAAGAAAAUGUACGUAGUUAAUUAACUUGCGAAUCGCUAUCGAUUCAAAAAUGUCGCUACAAAAAAAGAAAAGUCUAUAAUUCUGUGCAUGCAUGCAAAUUGAACGAAGAUUAAAAGAAGAAAAUGGAAAUGAAAAUGAAAAGCGAAAACAAGAAGAAAAAUUAUGGGUUAGGGAGAAUUACGUACGAUUAAGAGGCUCUCCGAUGGCGGUUGGAUAAGAUCCUCCAACAUUCUCUCCUCCGGAACAAGCUCCUUCGAAAAUGUAAUGAAUAAAUAGCAACAACAGCAACAAUUAAAAGAAAAAAGAAAAAAAAGAAAACAAAAAUUAUACACCCUCUCGCUCCAAAUAUCGAUCACUCAAAAUGAAUCCUUUCGAAUUAAAAUGAGAUAAAAAAAUCUACACAAAAAAUGGUGGUUUAGGAAUCAAAUGAUCUCUCUCUCUCUCUCUCUCUCUAAUCCACAGCGAAGAACAGCGUGGAAUAUUUAUAGAGAGAGAAUAACAGAGUCGAGAGAGUUACGCGGGGGAGAUAGAGAGUUGGCUUUACUAUUUAUGGACAAAUUUUCCCCGCACCCGGUUCAUCCGUACACGCAUGGACCACCAUAUAUCGGUUUUCUAUGUAAAAAAAAUGCGUAAAUUGCGGAUCCACGCCAUCAAAUUAUUAUAAGAUGCGUAAAACUUCGAUUCUCAAAUUUUAAUUUACUGUAAUUUUUUAGUUCACUUGUUGAAAAUUAAUCGCCUAAUCUCAUAUAAGAAUUUAUAACGUUGGAGCUAAAAAUUAUAAUAUAUAUUUAUAAUUUAAGGAAUAAAAGUGUUAUUUAGCCAUUUAAAAAUUUACCUACCACCGUUUUGAAUUGAGUUUGACUAAAAACGUUCUAAAUAAAUAAAGAUGAGGGUGCAAUUCUCAAAUUAGCUAUAGUUGAGGGGCUUCGGAGACAUUUCUACGGUAGACGUACGGUGCAGGUACGUAGGCGGUGCACCGUGCUCAGGUAGAAUACGUACGGGGUCGGUCCGUUAGAGGACGAGAUAACGGACGUUAGCGUACGAGCCAGACAAGGGGCGGGAAAGGCGGAUGUUUUUUGGGCCGUUUGGGUUCCGUACGGUGUGACGGUCACGCCGUCAAAUCCGUUCGGGGCUCCGACCCGGUCGGGAGUCCCCCCCCGCGACCCGGCCACCCCGUAACCUCGGGGUGGGGCCCACGCUACGCGAGCACCUCGACACGUGGCGCUUCCUCGUUGGCUCUGCGAUUUUUGGCCCCAGAAGAUAAAAGGAAAAAAUUAAAAGAAAAAAAUCCCGGUGUCUGCUCCGGUUUGGCGAUGGCGCCUCCGAUGGGUCCCACACGAGCGCCACGUCAGCAUGAUUAGAUAAAAUAGCAUAGUAGUACCUUGACAUUUGUCAAUUUUCAUUUUAGUCCUUAAAUUUUCUCAUGCUUUACCCUAUCCUUUGCAUAUUUGUCGGCUCUGUGUCCGCAUCUUAUUUUAAAGAUAAAAAUAUAUAGAACUUAUAGUCAGAGCUAUAGUUCAUUUUGAUUUGAUGAUUCUUAUAGUAAAAAAAAAAAAAAAAACUUAGGUUCGUCGCUUAUUUUAAUAAACUUAUAGCAGUAUAAAUUAUACAAAAUAUGCUAAUAAAAUCUGUAAAGAUAAACGAUGUGAGAUUAUGAGCUGAUAAAAUAAUACCGAAACACUUUUAAGAGUUUGUGAUUUGGAAUGCGAAACUUAAAAGAGUCGAGGAUUAAACUAAAACUUAGUCAAAGGUUUAAGAUUAGUAUAUGUGUCAUAAUUAGGGCAAAUGAGGAAGUGCAAGGAGUUGACUUUAGCUGGAAUUUUGAAUCCAUGUUUAAAAAGGUGUUAAUUAGUUUCUUACUAGAUUUAGUUACAACAAACCAGGGCUAAUAAGUUAAUUAAGUGCUAUAAAUAAAUAAAUAAAUAGAGGGGACAUGGUGACUAAUUUUGAGCUUCAUGAGUUUUACUAUAAAAUGAUAGUGUGGGUUUGCUUUAAUUGGGUGUUUAGUAAUAAUUAGUUAAUGCUAUUACGCGAAGAGCAGUGUUUCUGGUUCCCCCGGAAAUUAAGUCCCCCAACUCCCAAGUGCAGUUUGAUGACUCAAAUUUGAAUGUAGCAAAAGAGUUAACAGUUUCUCACUGUAAAAAAAGUAGAAACUAUGUUAAUUUUUUGCGAACCAUUCUAGUGUUGGGUUAUGUAAAAUCAUGUUCCGAGUCGAUAUGCAGAGUUUAAGUCUGAUUAGAUCUAAUCUUAUUUCAAAAAAUUAGACUUUAAAGAGUAUUUCUAAAAGGAUAUUGAUGACUGCACGUAAAUCUGACUUGGAUGGAAGGCGAAAAUUAUUUUCUACUAGAAUUAAAAUUUUAGGGUUAUAUAAACUCUUAUAAUUAAUCUUUUAAAUAAUGAGCUUCAUUGAAAAUACCCUAUUUGAGAGGAAAAUGUGAAGAGCUCCUGAGAGAGAAUUUCUUACAAUCCAAUCUACUCCUUUGUAUUUUUAUGCCAUGAAUUAAUCGAACAAACAAUUGAGGUGGUCUUGCUCAUGGACGUAGGUCGACUUAUGGUUGUAAAUCUUAUGUUUUUUGUGUUCUCUUUUUUUUUUAUUGCUUUGUUAUCCUCGUACUUAUUUUUUCUACGAUCAUUCUUGUUUCUUACGUCUACGAAAUAUUCUAUUUUUUCUGUACUCGUGUGCUGUAUGAGUUUGAGGCGUGCUCUGUAAUCUCACAACCAGUUCCUUCAUCUAGUACUACUUUUUUGAAUAAAAAAGAUAUUAUAAAAGUGAUGACAAAAGAAGCACUUUUAGAACUUUUUUUUAAAUUUUUUUUUCUAUUUUCUUAAAGCAGUUGUGAAGCUUAAAAUAAAAAAAAAUGCUAAGCUGCGUGAUCAUGACAACAGCAAGGUGCUAAACCAAAAUAAAUUAUUAUUCUCUAAUAAUUAAUUCAUAGUAAUAAUAAUAAUAAAACGUGUAUUAAUUCUCAAAGACAACCUUAAUUAGUGACAGAGACAAGUUAAGAUGGAAUAGAAUCUGGUCGGCCUCGUUCGUAGGACUAUUUCAUGUCGUCCGUACGGGGAAUCAAGUCAACUUUUUUUUUUUUUUUUUUUAGGUGGAAAAAAAUUUGCGAUAUUUUGUCUAAAUUGCGCCAUAUUUUUACGUAAUAUUUUGAGUUUAGAAGUUUCCAUUUGGUACUUAGCAUAUUAUUUUUAAAAAAAAUUUACUUUGUUAGUUUAUAAAAUAUUUUAGCAUUUAAAAAGAAAUACUUUGUUAGUAUAUAAGGGUUAAAUACCAAAAUCAAGAUUUUGAAAGUUUCUUUUUCUAUUUCAAAAUACUCAAACUUUGUACACUUUUUAUCAUUCUUUUAAAUCUAUGGUAUUUGAAUCGAGAGUGUUAAUCAAUUAUUUUAAAAUUACGUGUUGAUAGAAAUAACACAUCCAUCGAAUUUAAGAACUCAACCACAUAACUCACGGGCAUUGACUUGAUUCAGUCCACUUGAACCUUAGGUCUAUUGUUGUGUCUCUUAGCGUUGGAUCUGUUAUAGACCGCAACUCCAUUUAACUUAUUAUUUUUUUGGAUGUAUUGUCACGUGGCAGAAAAUCGAACCUAUUUUAGUCAAUAGUAAAUAACCAACACAGUUUAUCAGUAAUACGAAUAAUUUUCACUAUAGAGUUAGAAGUUGCAACGAUUUUUACAAUAUGAGAGAGCGAGCUAGUAUGUUUCAGUAACUAAUACACAAAUAUCGCAAGGGUUACAAUAAAGCAAACUAAUUCCAAAACCUAGAUCAAAAUUUGACCACAUGAUGAUCUAGUUUCCAAGGCAAAACAACUUAACAAAAGUUGAUACCUCAACACUAAAAAAAAACCUUUUCCUUUUGACUCUAUUAUUAUGAAGCCUUGAACCCUAAGCUAGGAGGACAAAGUGUGGAGUUCAAAAACAAGGUUAUAUACCCACCAAAAUGGAACUAAUGCCCAUCAAUCCCUUACAAAGGCCUAAAAACACUGUCCCAAAGCUGUUUUUUGUCCAACUCCACAAAUUUUAGAUCCCCCCUAUAGCCCUAGACCCCCAAUCAAUGCCAAUUCCCUAUUGACUAAGGGCCAUGUGAGUGCACCUCCCAAAGCAAGGGUUAAAAAAAAAAAAAAAAAAAAAAACCCAAGUGGUGGUGUGCUUUGCCACCCCUUUAGACCUCCAUUAGAAUCCAUGCUCUCCCCUCUAAUUUUAGCUCACAACUACAUAUAAUGCAUGGCUUGUCCCUCCACUAUUCCUAUUUGGCACUCUCUAUGUUUUCAAUCUAAAUAUUUUAGUUUCUGAAUUUUCACAUGCACUGUACUUUAAUCUCCGAUCAUCGUUUAAAAAUAUACGGAGAUCUCAUCAACUACAGAUUAAGUUUCUCGAUUUCAGUUCCUAGGCUCCGAUAAGUUUAAAAAGUCAAACUUAAUGACUGUAUUAAUUAAUUACUAAUUGUUAGCCGAUCUAGUUUUAUCUGCUAAAAAGUAAUUAAAGUUAAGGAAAAACUUCAAAUACCAUCUUUGUGGUUUCACACUUACUCACUUUAAUACCAUAUGGUUUAAAAUGUAUCAAUUUAAUAUCCUGAUGUUCCAUUUUUAUUUUUUUUUUAUCGAUAUCACUAAUUUUUUUUGUUAAAUCAGUGACAAAGUUAAAACUAAAAGGUACUAAAGUGAAUAUUCGAUAAGCCUAGGUGGAAUAUCAAAAAUUUUUUUUAUAUAAUUUAACGAAAUAUUAACGAAAAAGCUGACGAAAAGAUAAAAAUGAAACCACAUGACACUAACUUGAUAUAUUUUAAACCACGGGGUACUAAAGUGAGAAAGCGCGAAAAUACAGGGGUGGUAUUUGAAGUUUACCCUAAGGGUGCGUUUGGUUCGCGCUAUCUUUUAAAGAUUUCUAAUAAUUCAAUGGGAAUAAAAAAAUAUGACGGUGUUUUGUUAAACGCAUAGUUGGUAAUAUCGGAUUCAUUUGGGAAUAAGAUUCACCCCAAAGUACUAAUCUCAUUCCUUUGAGGGAGGAUGUGUAUCCUCAUAUUAAUGGAUUAGGGUAAUCAUAAUAUGUCUAAUCUUUUUCUUUCUUCCUAUCCGCCGGCUAAUUGAUAUUAUUUUUUUUUACACUCUAACCUUAUAUCUCUCUCUAAACUUAUUUUUCUCUCUCUAAACUAAGCUUUCUCUCUCUCUCUUUCUAAAAUUUCAACUCUUUCACUCCCUCUAAUUUCGACUAUAUUUUUCUUUCUAUUUUUUUAAUUAUGCUCUCUCUCUAACUUAUACUCUCUUUCUCUUUUUUCUAAAAAGAUGUUGACAUUUUUGGUAAUAUUAUCUAAAAUUAAUUAAUUAAAUAAAUAAAUUAAUUGUAUAUUUUUUGUAAUAUUAAAUAACAUGGUUAAUUAAUAUUACCGUACGAACCAAACACAGAAAUUCCACAUUCUUAGUAAUAGGAUGAAUAUGAAUAAGAUUCUCGAAUAUCUUUUAUUCCUAGUAAUCUUUCAUAAUGCGAACCAAACGCACCCUAAAGUUAAUAAAAUUAGUAAAAUUAAAUCAAAAGGAAGUUGAGGGAACAUGC
rnacentral:lncRNA from 1 species